rnacentral:hammerhead_ribozyme from 1 species
AGCUGGCGGACGAGUCCCAAAUAGGACGAAACACGCGUUAUCCUAGAU